CAGGUGGAAUGUUAGAGGAUAUGUCUAUAAAGUUCAUCCUAAAAGAGUUUGAGAUACUACUUUUCUUUUGAAAGGAAUAUAAUGUGAUUGUGACCCGACAUACUAUCUUUUUAAAAAAUUAUUUAACCAAGAUAAAGUAGUAGGAGAAAAGUUAAGCUCAAAGAGAGUGUCUCUGAAGAGCAGUAGGACCUAAAGAAUCUAUUCAUGAUGAACCAGUAUAUAUAUAUUUUUUCUCCACCUCGUACAUACA
rnacentral:lncRNA from 1 species